GACGAACGCUGGCGGCGUGCUUAACACAUGCAAGUCGAACAGAAAGGCCCUGCUUUUGUGGGGUGCUCGAGUGGCGAACGGGUGAGUAACACGUGAGUAACCUGCCCUUGACUUUGGGAUAACUUCAGGAAACUGGGGCAAAUACCGGAUAGGAGCUCCUGCUGCAUGGUGGGGGUUGGAAAGUUUCGGCGGUUGGGGAUGGACUCGCGGCUUAUCAGCUUGUUGGUGGGGUAGUGGCUUACCAAGGCUUUGACGGGUAGCCGGCCUGAGAGGGUGACCGGCCACAUUGGGACUGAGAUACGGCCCAGACUCCUACGGGAGGCAGCAGUGGGGAAUAUUGCACAAUGGGCGGAAGCCUGAUGCAGCAACGCCGCGUGCGGGAUGACGGCCUUCGGGUUGUAAACCGCUUUCGCCUGUGACGAAGCGUGAGUGACGGUAAUGGGUAAAGAAGCACCGGCUAACUACGUG
rnacentral:rRNA from 1 species